AAAGAUAUCACCUGGGGAUCUUGUUAAAAUUCAGAUUAUGAUUCAGUAAGGUGGGUUGGGGCCUGAUAGUCUGCGCUUUUGACAAGUUCCUGGGUGGUACUGAU
rnacentral:pre_miRNA from 1 species